rnacentral:lncRNA from 1 species
CAAACAGAGGUCAGGGCUCUCUUGAACAAGGUGCUGUUGUAGCAGCACUGCUAUUGGCAUAUGAAAGAAAGCUGUGUUAUGAGAAGCUAUUGAGACUGUCCAAGCUGAGACAGAAGCUGAGAGUCACAGCAGGGGGAAUAGGGAAAAAGGUGGCAGUGACUGUGUGAGGCUCGGAGACCAUGCGAUCUGGCCUCUCUCAAAUGACGUAUCAAUUGAAUGAUUUCUUCUCUCAGUGAACUAUGCCUGCAAGAAAGUGCAAUCUAAAUAUGCAAAGAAAAAUAUUGUGUGCGCAUGUGUAUAUCUGUACACACAGGACCACACUUGAAAAGGAGCUGAGGAGGAUUAUUAAUGAUGAGAGAAGAAGAUGGGGAGAUUUGUAAAGAAUGUGGAGAAAGACAUCUGGUAUAUGUGAAUGUGAAGGCUGUUCCAGAUAUGCAGCAAGACAAAAGGAUGUAGAAUGUGGUUAAUGGAGGAGAGGAAGAGAAGACAAAUAAUAAAAGCAAGGACCUUUGGUAAAUACCUGGACAUAGACAGUGGGCAAAGGAAAAAAAGAGAACACUAUUGGUAUACCAAUAAGCCUUGGACUCUCCAAUCGGCACUGCAAAAUACAUCAUCCCACAUCACCAUGUGAGCUGCUGGAAUUGGGGGUGUGGGGAGGAUUACCAUGAAAACAAACUCAAAAGCUAAAGCUACAGCAAUUUAGUCCAGUGCUAGCUGAUUAUGUAAAAGUGCAGUAACAAAAGCUGAUAUACUCUUUCCUCCUAAGUUUUCCUAAAUGUGAUGAAUAACUUAAAGCAUCAGUUCUGUUUGACAGUGAAACUCACCUCUUGGUUCCAAAGCAAUGCUGAAAUUUUUAGCAGUCAUGCACACAUCUAACCAAGUAACUUAGCAAGGUAGUCAUGAAAAGGAGUCAUGAUCAAGAUGGCACAAAAACAUCUGGUAUACACCAAACUCUUCCUUUUUCCAAAGCUGACUUGAUAAUUUACUAAGAGCUUUCAAAUAAACAAAUUAAAAAAAAAAAUACCUAUCA